CUUGGAAAUGUAAUAAGUGCACUUGGAGAUGAAAAAAAGCGAAAAGAAGGAGGACAUGUGCCAUAUCGUGAUAGCAAGUUAACGCGCCUACUUCAGGAUUCUCUGGGAGGAAACAGCAAAACUGUGAUGAUAGCAUGUGUUAGUCCAGCCGAUACAAAUGCUGAAGAGACAUUGAACACCUUAAAAUAUGCAAAUCGUGCUCGUAACAUUCAGAACAAGGCAAUUAUUAAUCGAGAUCCAGUGGCAGCUCAGAUGCAGACAAUGCGGAAUCAGAUUGAGCAAUUGCAAGCUGAGCUUCUAUUUUAUAGAGG
rnacentral:sRNA from 1 species